rnacentral:rRNA from 1 species
CGAAGGGUGCAAGCGUUGCUCGGAAUUAUUGGGCGUAAAGGGUAGGUAGGUGGUUACGUAUGUCUGGGGUGAAAUCCCUGAGCUCAACUCAGGAAGUGCCUUGGAAACGGCGUAACUAGAGUGCUAGAGAGGUUCGUGGAAUUCCCCAGUGUAGCGGUGAAAUGCGUAGAGAUUGGGAGGAACACCAGAGGCGAAGGCGGCGAACUGGAUAGCAACUGACACUGAACUACGAAAGCGUGGGUAGCAAACAGGAUUAGAUACCCUGGUAGUCCACGCUGUAAACGAUGGGUACUAGGCUUCGUGGGAGUUGACCCCUGCGGAGCCGGAGCUAACGCAAUAAGUACCCCGCCUGGGAAGUACGGUCGCAAGACUAA